CACGCCCUAAACGAUGCGAACUAGGUGUUGGGGAAGGAGACUUUCUUAGUACCGCAGCUAACGCGUGAAGUUCGCCGCCUGGGGAGUACGGUCGCAAGAUUAAAACUCAAAGGAAUUGACGGGGACCCGCACAAGCGGUG
rnacentral:rRNA from 1 species